rnacentral:lncRNA from 1 species
AGUCCUGCAUCCCCUCCGCAAGGCUACAACUCUUCGUAGGAGAAGCCUUUUCCCGGACCCCUGUUCCUGUUUUCAACUUUAAAAACCCUUCGAUUAAUCUUGUGGAGCGCGGCGGUGAAACUCAAUAAGGUAUAUACUCAUCUCAACUUUUCAAUUUGAUUGUUUCAACUUACUUACUAGUAUUGCAUCGCGGUUGUGGCUACACAAGUUCAAUUUUAUUUUUUCAGUUCAGAUAUCCAAGCUCUCUUAUGUCGGUUCUUACUCGAGUUCUCCUAAUUCAAGAUGAGUGAUUGCUUCAGAUC